rnacentral:rRNA from 1 species
AUUGAACGCUGGCGGCAGGCCUAACACAUGCAAGUCGAGCGGAUGAAGGGAGCUUGCUCCUGGAUUCAGCGGCGGACGGGUGAGUAAUGCCUAGGAGUCUGCCUGGUAGUGGGGGAUAACGUCCGGAAACGGGCGCUAAUACCGCAUACGUCCUGAGGGAGAAAGUGGGGGAUCUUCGGACCUCACGCUAUCAGAUGAGCCUAGGUCGGAUUAGCUAGUUGGUGGGGUAAAGGCCUACCAAGGCGACAAUCCGUAACUGGUCUGAGAGGAUGAUCAGUCACACUGGAACUGAGACACGGUCCAGACUCCUACGGGAGGCAGCAGUGGGGAAUAUUGGACAAUGGGCGAAAGCCUGAUCCAGCCAUGCCGCGUGUGUGAAGAAGGUCUUCGGAUUGUAAAGCACUUUAAGUUGGGAGGAAGGGCAGUAAGUUAAUACCUUGCUGUUUUGACGUUACCAACAGAAUAAGCACCGGCUAACUUCGUG